UUUCACAGCAAACUUUUUUUUUUAAGAAGGAGAAAGAUUACACUCUAAAAUGGAAAGUAUAAAGCUAAGCAGGAUCGGGCCUGGUUAGUACUUGGAUGGGAAACCACCUAGGAAGACCAGGUGCUAUAGGUG
rnacentral:rRNA from 1 species